GGGACAGCCUAGGCGGGAGGCCUCCGUGGCACUAGAAGCCUCGGAGAGCCCCCUACAGGCGGGAGGACCCGAAAGGCAAGUACUUCUGCUCAGAUGGGCGGAGCUAGGGAGGCGGGGGAGGAAGUGACGUUGAAAAGCUGGCAAAGGCGGGUUCUUCUACCUGCGCUGAGAGGGUGAGGUGUAGUGGGCUCUUCGUGUUUCUGGAGAAGUUAUUUUAAUAAAGGCUCGAGAACUCUGUUCUGUCACCAUGGACACGGGAUGUCGUUUAGACACUUAUUGUUUUGGGGGUCUCCUUUUCCUGCUAGAAAUAUGAGGUUUCUCUUGGAGUUUUAGCUUUGUGCCAUAGCUACAGCAUCUGACUAGGGCCCACACUGGAGCAAAGAGAAACAUGUGUUUUGGGAAGAGGAAGAAUGAAAAUGUGGGAGAUGAGGAACCUUUGAUUUCUGGGUGGCCAUGUGAUCACCUAUGUAAUGGAAUAGCAGCUAUGCUGUGGCCAGUUACUAAAGGUGAGGACACAGUGAGAAGAUAGCCAUUUGCAGUCUGAGAAGAGGGCUCUCACCAGGAACCAAAUUGGUUGGCGCCUUGAUCUUGGACUUUGCAGCCUCCAGAACCUUCACUAAACUUCCUUAAGAGGAUUAUUCUGAAUUCUUUGACAGUUCAUAGAUCUCCAUUUAUCUA